CCCAUUUUGAGUGAGAAGAAUGGGCCAUAUUUGUCGGCAAUGGCUCCAAGAAUUUUGGCCAUUGGCUCUUGGCCUCCUAGAAGAUGAAGGUGGCCAAUGAUUGGUAAUGCCCCAGAGGGUUCAGGGAUUUCAAUGCAUUUGGUGUAACCCCUCUUGGUAUUUGAUUUGUUGUUUAAGGCAAUAAAGAUUA